UACGUAGGGUGCGAGCGUUAAUCGGAAUUACUGGGCGUAAAGCGUGCGCAGGCGGUUUUGUAAGCCAGAUGUGAAAUCCCCGGGCUCAACCUGGGAAUGGCAUUUGGGACUGCAAGGCUGGAGUUUGGCAGAGGAGACUGGAAUUCCUGGUGUAGCAGUGAAAUGCGUAGAUAUCAGGAGGAAUACCGAUGGCGAAGGCAGGUCUCUGGGCUAUAACUGACGCUCAUGCACGAAAGCGUGGGGAGCGAACAGG
rnacentral:rRNA from 1 species